rnacentral:ncRNA from 21 species
UGGCGGUCUGGGGGUGGAGUUCCCCAUAACCGCCCACCCGGGCCGAUGACUCCUACCGCGUG